rnacentral:rRNA from 1 species
AUUGAACGCUGGCGGCAGGCCUAACACAUGCAAGUCGAGCGAGAGGCGGACGGGUGAGUAAUGUAUGGGGACUGCCCGAUAGAGGGGGAUAACUACUGGAAACGGUGGCUAAUACCGCAUACUAUCGGAUAACCCAUAGGGGAUUAGCUAGUAGGUGGGGUAAAGGCUCACCUGGGCGACGAUCUCUAGCUUGGCUGAGAGGAUGAUCGGCCACACUGGGACUGAGACACGGCCCAAGCUCCUUCGGGGGCAGCAGUGGGGAUUUGUGCACAAUGGGCGCAAGCCUGAUUCAGCCAUGCCGCGUGUAUGAAGAAGGCCUUAGGGUUGUAAAGUACUUUCAGCGGGGAGGCGUUACCCGAAGAAGAAGCACCGGCUAACUCCGUGCCAGCAGCCGCGGUAAUUA